GAAUGCUGGAGCUCUGACAGAGUGACCAUUGGGUUUUUGGUCACCUCUCUGAUUAAGGCCCUUCUCCCCGAUUCCUCAGUUUAGACAGGAGACCAGCUCUAGAAAGAGUCCCGCUGGAUCCGAACUUCUUCCAUUUAUGGAUGAUGGAGGCCACUGUGCUCAUUGGGACCUUCAAAACAGCAGAAAUGUUUCUG